rnacentral:rRNA from 1 species
CCUGCCCUUGGGUCCGGCAUAACCCCGGGAAACUGGGGAUAAUUCCGGAUAACGCACAUAUGCUGGAAUGCUUUAUGCGUCAAAUGGAUUCGUCUGCCCAAGGAUGGGUCUGCGGCCUAUCAGGUAGUAGUGGGUGUAAUGUACCUACUAGCCGACGACGGGUACGGGUUGUGAGAGCAAGAGCCCGGAGAUGGAUUCUGAGACAUGAAUCCAGGCCCUACGGGGCGCAGCGGGCGCGAAAACUUUACAAUGCGGGAAACCGUGAUAAGGGGACACCGAGUGCCAGCAUCAUAUGCUGGCUGUCCGGGUGUGUAAAAUACACCUGUUAGCAAGGGCCGGGCAAGACCGGUGCCAGCCGCCGCGGUAACACCGGCGGCCCGAGUGGUGAUCGUGAUUAUUGGGUCUAAAGGGUCCGUAGCCGGUUUGGUCAGUCCUCCGGGAAAUCUGACGGCUUAACCGUUAGGCUUUCGGAGGAUACUGCCAGGCUUGGAACCGGGAGAGGUAAGAGGUACUACAGGGGUAGGAGUGAAAUCUUGUAAUCCCUGUGGGACCACCUGUGGCGAAGGCGUCUUACCAGAACGGGUUCGACGGUGAGGGACGAAAGCUGGGGGCACGAACCGGAUUAGAU